UGUGCAUGUAGUAGGCUACGUAGUCAGUGCUGCAGCGUUGACGUGUGGAAUGACAGCUUCCUAUAUUCAAAUCCACUGGCGCCGAAGCAAAAGCUAAACUCUGAUAAAUUCGGCCUACUAUCCGAAAGUAUACUGUAGCUACAAUUUUCCAAACAACUUGUCGUGAUUUUCGUAAGUCAAAAAGUAGCCAACGUUAGAUAGCUAGCUAGUCAUAAACCGGAAGAACGGAUAUCAUAUCAGUAACAUUGGCAUGCUAGCUAUCUGGCUGACUUACAGCAGAGUUAGCUACGUAGCUAAAGUUAGUUACUACAGUCGCGUUUUUGUGCAAGAUUUGAUUUGGCAAGACAUAUACAGCUAGCACUGGGUUGAUGGUUAACGGUAACCCUUGAUUGCGUGGUCAGCUGCUGUACAGUAGUCAACAAAUGGCUGUUUAAAAACUGUGUUUACAUAGCUACCAAGAUACUUUUUAAAAACCCAUUUCGCCCAGUGCACUGUCUGUUAUGCACAUUAAUGAACCAUACCUGAAGAAGUUGAGAAAACAUCUAAUUUGACAUAUUUCUUACACUCUAGUUUGGGACAGUUCUUUACAGCAAAAACUCAUACACUUCAAAUUGACAAAACUGAUGCUGUUAUUUGACUAUAUAGAUAUUUGACAAAACAACAACUUAACAGCUAAGACACGACAGUGACUGAUGGAGUGAGUCUGGCAAGCCACGUGCAUUCUGACCGUAGUUUAAAUGAUCUGGUCCACAAAAACCUUCGCAGUGGAAUUUAUAAUAACAUUACCCAGUACUCAUUUGUUUACAAUGAGAAAUUAUUUGGUCAGGUUUGUGUUUACACUGAGAAGAUUGAACAUGGUUCAAAGAAGUCUAAUGUUUUGCGCAAGCUUAAAGACUUUGAGUCCCUCCCCAUGGUUACCAAGGAAGGAUUUAGAAACAUUGUGGCAUUGCAAAGUGAUGCACCCCUGCAGAUGGGCCACAAACAUUACCUGUCUCUUUGGAAUAAUGAGGGUCCUGAAAGCAGAGUAUAGGUUCUAGAUGGUAAAAUGAGAAUUUCAGUUGCUAACUAUUGUGGUUAUUACAAUGGUGAUUACCUGAACCAGACUUACUUUGAAGUCGCAGACCAAAGUGUCACCAUGCCCCUUGUCAUGUAGAAUGAGCUGUGGCCCGAGUGGUACCAGAGACUGAAUGUUGGAACUGUGCUCUACCUCCAAAACUACACCCUCAGGCAGAGUAAUCCAAACAGGUCUCGACCUGACAUAGACAACCACAGAAUGAAGAGCUUUCACUCAGUAGGUACUGAACUCAACCUAACCUAGUGAUUCACAACUUAGCAAAUCAACAUACAUUGCCAGACAGACACUCCCAAUUGGUCAUUUUGAAAUAAUAUUCUGUCUGAACACUGAAUACUGUGAAACUCUUCGUUUUUACUAUGCAUGGCCUUGUAGAAAUCUGUCUGAAUCUUUGGACUCCCACUGCACUCCUUACUGUGGUUCCAGCCAAAGAGUAAGGGGUCCGCAGGUCAGAGGUGUUCGUUAGACUUGGACUAGUCAUUUAUUCUGAAAAUGUAACACAAAUGCUCAUGAUUUUUUUCCAUCUUUUGCAGGCCCAGAAAAAUAGUGGAUUUACCGCUGAGUCCAUGCAGUGGAACAUCCAAUAGUCCUUUUAUUUUGGAGCUUUCUGCUUCUUCACAACCAGAAAUAUACCAUGGGAUAUACCCAAGCAAAUAUUUUUACUGUAGUACUAGCUAUAACAGUUAGUAGCUAUAAUACAAACAAUUCCAUAGGUAAACGGCAACAGAACUCUCCUAAUUGUACUUAUUUUCUCCCUGCUCUGUACCCUCCCCAUAUCCCAUUGUAACAUACCUGGUGUGCACUCAGAUGAGAAAGUGUUAAGAGCAAGACUCACUGCCUUACCUCACUAGCAGCUGCAAGACACAUAUAUUUAAUACCGUUUUCCCUCAAGGUAUCACAAGGGCCAGCCUUACCUGUCAGACCCCAGGGUGAAGCUUCGACCAGUGGACCAAGACUGAAGGACAGCAUUAUGCUGAAGAAGACUGUUGUUGGUGGCCAUUAUUGCUUCCCUCACACCCCUCAGAUAUUCACACAGUCAGUGGCAGUUGGCUCAGCUCAAGUUCUUCUGGUUGCUGCAAAUGACCUAAAGAGGGAGAUGGAGGGUCUGCAUUAUCGUUAGCACAAGCAGCUGGCAAUCCAAGGUCAGAUCAUUGCUGUGCAGUAUGUGACAUGGCCAGAGGAGGCACUGUAAGACCAGAAUGAUCCACUACCCAAUGGACUUCAAGCCAACUUAACACAACCGUGGGAAGCAUUGGAGUCAACAUGGGCCAGCAUCCCUGUGGAAUGGUUUUGACGCCUUGUAGAGGACAGGAUACAUUGAAAGACACAAAAAAAACAGUUACCUGUACAGGAAUGAUUUGCCGUUGGUAAGUCAAGUUUAGAAUACGAUUCAGUCUGUGGGUGAGACUGUUGUGGCUGUACCAAACCCACACGGUGAUCAGAAAAUUGUAGACGUAACUGAAACACAGAAAAACAGGGAAACAGCGCCCUCUGGUGUGCAGAGCUCACUCAGCAGACGGGGGAAAAACAACCCAAGAAGAGGUGAGUUUCAAAACACAGGUGGGCUAUAUGACUGUCAACAUUACUAAACAUUUAAAAUUGUACUUGUAACUCCCCUUUACUACGGCAUUUGAAAUUGUAUUUGUAUAUUUUACAUUGUCAUGAUGACGUCACUUGCAUGUUUUAGAAUAAUUGUAUUUAGUCUUUUAGAGUGAUAAAGCAAUGCUACAUCACUCGGGCCAGGAUGCAAGAGAAAAGGUACUGAAUCAACUUCUAUCCUCUGCCAUAAUCAGUUCUCUAUGCCCAUCAGGGACCCACCCAGUAGCUCAGGUUAUGAGAGCUUGUUCUGUUCACAGAGAAGCUGGCCGUGGCUUUACAGAAUAGGAGCUAGUGGGGCAGGAAGAGAAGAGUGAUUCUGAAUCAGAGGAAGAAGUUGGUCCACUAGAUAGAAACCCAGACCAAACCAGAGCGGGUAGACAACAAAGUCCAUCAGAUAUUCCACAGAGUGACGGCGCUCCAAGAGAAAGUGGUUACGGACUGUGGGAAAGCUGCUCGUGGCUGAAGCAGAGACGAGAAGUGCCAGAAUAUUUGUGUCAAUGACGAAUAAGGUUUUCAAAAACAUUUUAAAAGGGAAAAAUAUUCAUUUCGAAACACUUUUUAUGUUCCCUUGAGUGUUACCUACAAUGUGUAUGCACAUUCAGGAUUUGUCGCUUUUUAUGCAACUUAAAUUUACCUCCUAAAAAAAGACCCCACAUUUUGAAUGACUGUCAACUGAAACUUCUGUUAGAGAAAUUAAAACCAUAUACAAUUUGACAAAAAAUGCAUUUUUCUAUUAGAAUGAGCUUCUCUGCAUUUUAUUAGACAAUAUAAUAAUGUUAUUGUUUUUAACCAUUAAGUACCAAAUGAUCAAUGCUGGUUGCACCGUCAUUUUUUUAGGCAGAUCUCUUUCCCUCUUACAGAAACACACACAUACCAUAAACAGUAUGGUUUCUUAUUCAACAACAAUGAUGCCUUUAAUGCGUAAUAAAUUACAAAAAAUGUGACUCAAAUGUUUAUCACGCAGAAACAUUUCAUCAUGAACAUGGCAAUGGACUUCUAAAAAUGAUUACAAUUCUGCAUUAUGAUACAUUGUUCAAACAAUGUUAAAACAGUUAAGAAUCAAUGUAAUACAUACAUAGUAAAGUUCUUGAAGUACAGUAAUGACAUUCAAACAUUAAAAUACAAAACGUAUAAGAAAGUGUUCUUCUACAUUACAUCAAUUACUCAUUUGAUUAAAAACGAAUGAAAUUGCUCUACUUGUAGACAAGUUGACCGCAAAUGCCAUCCAAAUGCCAACACUGAUGAUUUCUCCAGUGAGAUUCAGCCACUUGGGAAUUGAUGGAAAAUUAUGA